rnacentral:tmRNA from 1 species
GGGGACGACCGGUAUUGACAGUAAGUGCAAAUUGAUAGUAAGCACGUCAGGAGUUGGUUAGACCUCCUGCUAACAAUCAGACCGAUCUAUAAUUGGCAAUACUUCGUAUGCCAUGGCAGCUUAAUUCUUAGUUUACUAAGAUAAGUCAGGAAUUGGUUUCAACAAGGUUGAGCCUUUUCGCCACCUCCUACUCAGCCAAACUCUGCCGUUGAGAUUUUGGGGGACGCUAUGCAGAGUCGAACACCGUGAUUUUUCUAAGCGGCUGUUUAGUACACAGAAAAUAAGGAAUACAAUUGGCCAGGCUUGAGCCAUGGUAAUCUCGAAAAUACAAUCAAGACUAAACGUGUAGAAAGCUAUCGAGUUCCUUGUCUGGACGAGAGUUCGAAUCUCUCCGUCUCCACAU